rnacentral:rRNA from 1 species
GCAUAUCAAUAAGCGGAGGAAAAGAAACCAACAGGGAUUGCCCUAGUAACGGCGAGUGAAGCGGCAACAGCUCAAAUUUGAAAUCUGGCUUCGGCCCGAGUUGUAAUUUGCAGAGGAAGCUUUAGGCGCGGCACCAACUGAGUCCCCUGGAACGGGGCGCCACAGAGGGUGAGAGCCCCGUAUAGUUGGACGCCUAGCCUGUGUAAAGCUCCUUCGACGAGUCGAGUAGUUUGGGAAUGCUGCUCAAAAUGGGAGGUAAAUUUCUUCUAAAGCUAAAUACCGGCCAGAGACCGAUAGCGCACAAGUAGAGUGAUCGAAAGAUGAAAAGCACUUUGAAAAGAGGGUUAAAUAGCACGUGAAAUUGUUGAAAGGGAAGCGCUUGUGACCAGACUUGCGCCCGGCUGAUCAUCCGGUGUUCUCACCGGUGCACUCUGCCGGGCUCAGGCCAGCAUCGGUUCUCGCGGGGGGAUAAAGGUCCUGGGAACGUAGCUCCUCCGGGAGUGUUAUAGCCCAGGGCGUCAUGCCCUCGCGGGGACCGAGGUUCGCGCAUCUGCAAGGAUGCUGGCGUAAUGGUCAUCAGCGACCCGUCUUGAAACACGGACCAAGGAGUCAAGGUUUUGCGCGAGUGUUUGGGUGUAAAACCCGCACGCGUAAUGAAAGUGAACGUAGGUGAGAGCUUCGGCGCAUCAUCGACCGAUCCUGAUGUUUUCGGAUGGAUUUGAGUAGGAGCGUUAAGCCUUGGACCCGAAAGAUGGUGAACUAUGCUUGGAUAGGGUGAAGCCAGAGGAAACUCUGGUGGAGGCUCGCAGCGGUUCUGACGUGCAAAUCGAUCGUCAAAUCUGAGCAUGGGGGGCGAAAGACUAAUCGAACCAUCUAGUAGCUGGUUACCGCCGAU